CUUUUCCAUUUUGUCGUCUUUGUCUUCCAAAUGGAGAGUUCUGCUCUGAAGCCCAGUUUAUGAGACUGAUACAUUGCUGCAGCCAAGGUCUGGAUUCCAGCAAAAGAAUGCAUUUCUCUCCUGACUUUUGUUUUCACAGCAGAAAAGAGGGAUUUUUAUCAUUUUCAUUCAUGCUUAAAAAGAUUUUUCUUGUUUUUACACCAAAAUCAGGUUUUAAUUGAAAUCAGCCCUCUAAAAACAUCUUUAGUCAUUUUUUUCUUAUUGAAUUUCUUUAUUCUUUUCCAUUCUGUGCUACUCUGCUGUCUCACGUGUUAGUUUGUGGGUCAGGCCAAUUAAGAGGUCAAAUCUUUAAAAAGCUGUGAUUUACACUCUAUGUAUAUUCACUAUUAUUCUAAUUGUAAGAGAAAAAUAAAGUAUGUCAGAUGACCU